rnacentral:snRNA from 1 species
GUGCUCACUUCGGCAGCACAUAUAAUAAUAUUGGAAUGAUACAGAGAAUAGCAUGGCCACUGCACAAGGAUGACAUGAAAAUUCAUGAAGCAUUCCAUAUUUUU